UCCUCCACAUCGACUUCUUUUGAAGAUCU
rnacentral:piRNA from 1 species